GAUGAACGCUAGCGGCAGGCUUAAUACAUGCAAGUCGAGGGGCAGCAGGUCUGUAGCAAUACAGAUGCUGGCGACCGGCAAACGGGUGCGGAACACGUACAGAACCUUCCUUCGAGCGGGGAAUAGCCCAGAGAAAUUUGGAUUAAUACCCCAUAGUACAUUGAAGAGGCAUCUCUUUAAUAUUAAAGAUUUAUCACUUGAAGAUGGCUGUGCGGCNGAUUAGGUAGUUGGCGGGGUAACGGCCCACCAAGCCUACGAUCAGUAACUGGUGUGAGAGCACGACCAGUCACACGGGCACUGAGACACGGGCCCCGACCCCUACGGGAGGCAGCAGUAAGGAAUAUUGGUCAAUGGACGCAAGUCUGAACCAG
rnacentral:rRNA from 1 species